rnacentral:antisense_RNA from 1 species
CUUCACCGAGCCCAGCCACAACGGCCGUUCGUCGGCGCGCUCCUGGCCGUAGGUGGCGAUCAGGGCCUGUGCCUC